rnacentral:lncRNA from 1 species
CACUAAAUUUUCAAAAAAAUCUGCAGGCCUGCAAGACGACUUAAUUUGCUUAAAAUUGGUGUGGACGAAUACUAUUACAUGUAAUGCAGGGCAAGCGCAUGUUGAUUUUUUAUAAAAUGUAUUGAUUUUCGAGUUUCAGUUAAUUUCAUGUAUCUAAGUGAACGAAUAUCGAAGGUACAAUACAGAAAUUGGACAAAUAUGCCAUUAAAACAUAUGUAUGUGACAAAUUAGCAUGAGCUUGCCCUGCAUUAUAUGUAACAGUAUUCGUCCAUACCAAUUUUAAGCAAAUUAAGUCGUCUUGCAGGCCUGCAGAUUUUUUUGAAAAUUUAGUGUUCAACCCAAGAACCGGUUUGGCCAUAACAUAACAAUUUCAAGUUUAUUUACAAUUUCCACAGUGUGUAUAUGUAAAGUAUGUUUAAAUGAACAUAUGUUCUCAUAGUUUAUGACUUUAUUCAUUAUAGGUUGAAAAAUACAGGCAAAGUUUAGAUGUUAAUGAAGUGUCCUAUAUUUUGACUUUAGUGGAACCUUAAUUUAUUAGAUAUUUGGAAUAUUUGUUUUAUUAUAACAAGUUGAGUUUUGGUCCAGUUGAGCGAUUUUGGGUAUGAUUUUGGAGUCUCAGAAAUACCACACUUUUAACUGUAAUAACUGAAUCAGUUGAUUUGGUAUCAAUUUCUUUUCAUAAGAAGUUAGUUAGAAUUCGAGUCGCCUUUUGUUUGAGUGAUAUUUGUGGAAAUUGUGGUUCAUGGAUGUUAAAAUUCUUGAUUCUUUGGGGAAGUUCACAAAGAUAAGCCUAAUCAAAUGCAAGACACCCUUGUAGUUUUCGAAAAAGAGUAGGCUAAUGCCGCUACAAGGCAGCACUCGCUCCCGCAAAGUGGAAAGGGAUUAAUAUAAGUUGCAAAACUUGUUUUCCAAUCCACUAUAAAUAAAUACAUUUAAAGUAAAUGCAAGGGAGAUGAUGCAGCUGUGAUACAGAAGUUUUAAAUGAGACAUGCCAUGAAAGUGUUACUAAGCUAACAACUAAACCAGAGUUUAUGUUAGUGUUUGAAAGGGCAAACAUGCCUGUCAUGAUUCUUUAAACAUCUAUUUAUUGUCUCUUCAACUCUACAAAUGCUUAAAUAUUAUGACAGAUGUGCAGUUUAUGUACAGCUUUAAAGAUCUACAUUUUGAAUAUGUCUUUGUAAUGUACAGUUUAUAUGCAUCCUUAGAAAUGUACAUGAAGAUUGCUUGUACUUUUAAAAGUAGCUGUAACCUAAUUUUUUGUUUACUUCGCAAGGAUUUUAGUAUCAGAUGGAGAUGUGGUUGACAAUGGUGUCAGCCCAGAUAUUCUAAGUAGCAGAAGUUAAAAUUAAUAUGAAAUAUUUUGAUACUUCAGAAGGGUAUUGUGCAAAUAAGAUACCAUAAACUGUGUGUUCAAUAGAGAAAGAAAAGUUCACAAAUUUCUACUUUUCACUUUUA